rnacentral:rRNA from 1 species
UACGGGGGGGGCAAGCGUUGUUCGGAAUUACUGGGCGUAAAGGGCUCGUAGGCGGCCAACUAAGUCAGACGUGAAAUCCCUCGGCUUAACCGAGGAACUGCCCUCCAAACUGCUUGGCUUGAGUCCGGGAGAGGUGAGUGGAAUUCCCAGUGUAGCGGUGAAAUGCGUAGAUAUUGGGAGGAACACCAGUGGCGAAGGCGGCUCACUGGACCGGAACUGACGCUGAGGCGCGAAAGCGUGGGGAGCAAACGGGG